AUACGGAGGAUGCGAGCGUUAUCCGGAUUUAUUAGGUUUAAAGGGUGUGUAGGCGGUAUUUUAAGUCAGUGGUGAAAUCUCGGAGCUUAGCUUCGAAACUGCCAUUGAUACUGGAAUACUUGAGUAUAGUUGAGGUAGGCGGAAUAUGUAAUGUAGCGGUGAAAUGCAUAGAUAUUACAUAGAACACCGAUUGCGGAGGCAGCUUACUAAACUAUUACUGACGCUGAUGCACGAAAGCGUGGGGAGCGAACAGGAUUAGAAACCCGAGUAGUCC
rnacentral:rRNA from 1 species